UCGGACGUGGUGCAUGGUGCACUCCCGCACUCGAUGGGUUGUUGAAUCCGAUGUUAAUCAAGCGGGGAGCCUGGGUUCGAUUCCCGGCGUCCGGG